CAGCAAUGGCCACUAGGUGGUGUGCACUGAGAAUGACUCCAGUCUGCCUUGGGAUGUGUCACUGUGUCUCAGCUACUGACAAGCAUCACGUGACCACUUCUCAGAAAGUCACGUGUUCUUAGAGGGAAGCCUUGCUUCACAACAAGCUUAAAGAGACACUCCAGGCACCCAGACCACUUCUGCCCAUUGGAGUGGUCUGGGUGCCAACUCCCACUACCCUUAACGCUGCAACUGUAUUGCAGUUUUUUUAUAAACUGCAAUAAUUACCUUGUAGGGUUAACUCCACCUCUAGUGGCUGUUUACUAGACAACCACUAGAGGGCACUUCCUGCUCUAUAGCACGCUGUGUGAGGCCCUCCAGCGUCGCUCAAUUCCCCAUAGGAAAGCAUUUUCGAUGCUUUCCAAUGGGGAGCUCUAAUGUGCAUGCGCAUUAGGUCUCCCCAGCUGGUGGGCGGGAUCAGUCUUGCCCACCGGCCGACGUAAAGACUGGGAGGAGCAGCGGCGAGGAGAAAUUACCGCCGAGGAACAUUGGCGGGGUCUCAGGUAAGUGACCUGAAGGGGUUUUCACCCCUUCAGCAACCGGGGAUGGGGGACCUGCAGUGCCAGGAAAACGGAUUGUUUCCCUGGCACUGGAGUUCCCCUUUAAUGAGCAUGUAGGGUGGAUAGUUACUGUGAUAGCAAUGGUUUUUUUAGG